UACGGAGGGUGCGAGCGUUGUCCGGAAUCACUGGGCGUAAAGGGCGCGUAGGUGGCGCGACAAGUCAACGGUGAAAGCCCGGGGCUCAACCCCGGGUCGGCCGUCGAUACUGUUGGGCUUGAGCACUGUAGAGGCAGAUGGAAUUCCGGGUGUAGCGGUGGAAUGCGUAGAGAUCCGGAAGAACACCGGUGGCGAAGGCGGCCUGCUGGGCAGUAGCUGACACUGAGGCGCGACAGCGUGGGGAGCAAACAGG
rnacentral:rRNA from 1 species